rnacentral:rRNA from 1 species
UGGGGAAUCUUGCGCAAUGGGCGAAAGCCUGACGCAGCCAUGCCGCGUGAAUGAUGAAGGUCUUAGGAUUGUAAAAUUCUUUCACCGGGGACGAUAAUGACGGUACCCGGAGAAGAAGCCCCGGCCAACUUCGUGCCAGCAGCAGCGGUAAUACGAAGGGGGCUAGCGUUGCUCGGAAUUACUGGGCGUAAAGGGAGCGUAGGCGGACAUUUAAGUCAGGGGUGAAAUCCCGGGGCUCAACCUCGGAAUUGCCUUUGAUACUGGGGGUCUUGAGUAUGGGAGAGGUGGGUGGAGCGCCGAGUGUAGAGGUGAAAUUCGUAGAUAUUCGGAAGAACUCCAGUGGCGAAGGCGACACACUGGCUCAUUACUGACGCUGAGGCUCGAAAGCGUGGGGAGCAAACAGG